GAUGAACGCUGGCGGCGUGCCUAAUACAUGCAAGUCGAGCGAACAGACGAGGAUCUUGCUCCUCUGACGUUAGCGGCGGACGUGUGAGUAACACGUGGAUAACCUACCUAUAAGACUGGGAUAACUUCGUGAAACCGGAGCUAAUACCGGAUAAUAUAUUGAACCGCAGGGUUCAAUAGUGAAAGACGGUUUUGCUGUCACUUAUAGAUGGAUCCGCGCCGCAUUAGCUAGUUGGUAAGGUAACGGCUUACCAAGGCGACGAUGCGUAGCCGACCUGAGAGGGUGAUCGGCCACACUGGAACUGAGACACGGUCCAGACUCCUACGGGAGGCAGCAGUAGGGAAUCUUACGCAAUGGGCGAAAGCAUGACGGAGCAACGCCGCGUGAGUGAUGAAGGUCUUCGGAUCGUAAAACUCUGUUAUUAGGGAAGAACAAAUGUGUACGUAACUAUGCACGUCUUGACGGUACCUAAUCAGAAAGCCACGGCUAACUACGUG
rnacentral:rRNA from 1 species